AGUUUGAUCAUGGCUCAGAUUGAACGCUGGCGGCAGGCCUAACACAUGCAAGUCGAGCGGAUGGAAAGGCUUACUCUUCGAUUCAGCGGCGGACAGGUGAGUAAUGCCUAGGAAUCUGCCUGGUAGUGGGGGACAACGUUUCGAAAGACACUUUAAUACCGCAUACGUCCUACGGGAGAAAGCAGGGGACCUUCGGGCCUUGCGCUAUCAGAUGAGCCUAGGUCGGAUUAGCUGGUUGGUGAGGUAAUGACUCACCAAGGCGACGAUCCGUAACUGGUCUGAGAGGAUGAUCAGUCACACUGGAACUGAGAGACACGGUCCAGACUCCUACGGGAGGUAGCAGUGGGGAAUAUUGGACAAUGGGCGAAAGCCUGAUCCAGCCAUGCCGCGUGUGUGAAGAAGAAGGUCUUCAAGUUGUAAAGCACUUUAAGUUGGGAGGAAAGAAACAGCCACGGGAUAAUACCCGAUGCAACUGACAGAAACACCUGCAGAAUAAGCACCGGCUAACUACGUGCCAGCAGCCGCACGGUAAUACGUAGGGUGCAAGCGUUAAUCGGAGUUACUGGGCGUAAAGCGUGCGCAGGCGGUUCGGAAAAGAAAGAUGUGAAAUCCAGAGCUUAACUUUGGAACUGCAUUUUUUUUAACUACCGAGCUAGAGUGUGUCAGAGGAGGUGGAAUUCCGCGUGUAGCAGUGAAAUGCGUAGAUAUGCGGAGGAACACCGAUGGCGAAGGCAGCCUCCUGGGAUAACACUGACGCUCAUGCACGAAAGCGUGGGAGCAAACGGGAUUAGAUGCCUGGUAGUCCACGCCCUAAAGCGAUGUCAACUAGCUGUUGGGGCCUUCGGGCCUUGGUAGCGCAACUAACGCGUGAAGUUGACCGCCUGGGAAGUACGGUCGCAAGAUUAAAACUCAAAGGAAUUGACGGGGACCGCACAAGCGGUGGAUGAUGUGGAUUAAUUCGAUGCAGCACCCGAAAAACCUUACCUACCCUUGACAUGUCUGGAAUCCGAAGAGAUUUGGGAGUGCUCGCAAGAGAACCGGAACACAGGUGCUGCAUGGCUGUCGUCAGCUCGUGUCGUGAGAUGUUGGGUUAAGUCCCGCAACGAGCGCAACCCUUGUCAUUAGUUGCUACGAAAGGGCACUCUAAUGAGACUGCCGGUGACAAACCGGAGGAAGGUGGGGAUGACGUCAAGUCCUCAUGGCCCUUAUGGGUAGGGCUUCACACGUCAUACAAUGGUCGGGACAGAGGGUCGCCAACCCGCGAGGGGAGCCAAUCAGAAACCCGAUCGUAGUCCGGAUCAUGAUCUGCAACUCGACUGCGUGAAGUCGGAAUCGCUAGUAAUCGCGGAUCAGCAUGUCGCAGUGAAUACGUUCAGGUCUUGUACACCGCCCGUCACACCAUGGGAGUGGGUUUUACCAGAAGUAGUUAGCCUAACCGUAAGGAGGGCGAUUACCACGGUAGGAUUCAUGACUGGGGUGAAGUCGUAACAAAGGUAA
rnacentral:rRNA from 1 species